rnacentral:rRNA from 1 species
AAGUCGAGGGGUAACGGCAGUAGCUUGCUACUAGACGACGACCGGCGCACGGGUGAGUAACGCGUAUGUAAUCUGCCUUGUACAGAGGGAUAGCCCAGAGAAAUUUGGAUUAAUACCUCAUAGUAUUACUGAAUCGCAUGAUUUGGUAAUUAAAGCUCCGGCGGUACAAGAUGAACAUGCGUGACAUUAGCUAGUUGGUAAGGUAACGGCUUACCAAGGCCACGAUGUCUAGGGGUUCUGAGAGGAUGAUCCCCCACACUGGUACUGAGACACGGACCAGACCCCUACGGGAGGCAGCAGUGAGGAAUAUUGGUCAAUGGACGCAAGUCUGAACCAGCCAUCCCGCGUGAAGGAUGACUGGCCUAUGGGUU